GAUGAACGCUGGCGGCGUGUUUAAGGCAUGCAAGUCUAACGAUGAAGCCGGAGCUUGCUCUGGUGAAUUAGUGGCGAACGGGUGAGUAACACGUGAGUAACCUGCCCUUGACCCUGGGAUAACUGCGGGAAACUGUAGCUAAUACCGGAUACGACCCUCGGAGGCAUCUCCUGGGGGUGGAAAGAAUUUCGGUCAAGGAUGGACUCGCGGCCUAUCAGCUAGUUGGUGAGGUAACGGCUCACCAAGGCGACGACGGGUAGCCGGCCUGAGAGGGUGACCGGCCACACUGGGACUGAGACACGGCCCAGACUCCUACGGGAGGCAGCAGUGGGGAAUAUUGCACAAUGGGCGCAAGCCUGAUGCAGCAACGCCGCGUGAGGGAUGACGGCCUUCGGGUUGUAAACCUCUUUUAGCAGGGAAGAAGCGAAAGUGACGGUACCUGCAGAAAAAGCACCGGCUAACUACGUGCCAGCCGCCGCGGUAAGAC
rnacentral:rRNA from 1 species